rnacentral:rRNA from 1 species
CAAGACAACUUUACGGAGUUGACGAUUGACGGAGCGAAGCGACGUCAAAGCGUUCAUUAAAGUCGAGUUGGCUUAGGGAUACGUUCGUUGGGUAGGGGAGCGUUCUGUAAGCCUGUGAAGGUGUGUCGUGAGGCAUGCUGGAGGUAUCAGAAGUGCGAAUGCUGACAUAAGUAACGAUAAAGCGGGUGAAAAGCCCGCUCGCCGGAAGACCAAGGGUUCCUGUCCAACGUUAAUCGGGGCAGGGUGAGUCGACCCCUAAGGCGAGGCCGAAAGGCGUAGUCGAUGGGAAACGGGUUAAUAUUCCCGUACUUGGUGUUACUGCGAAGGGGGGACGGAGAAGGCUAUGUUGGCCGGGCGACGGUUGUCCCGGUUUAAGCGUGUAGGUGUGUGUUCCAGGUAAAUCCGGUUCACUUUAACACUGAGGCGUGACGACGAGGCACUACGGUGCUGAAGCAACAAAUGCCCUGCUUCCAGGAAAAGCCUCUAAGCAUCAGGUAACACGAAAUCGUACCCCAAACCGACACAGGUGGUCAGGUAGAGAAUACCAAGGCGCUUGAGAGAACUCGGGUGAAGGAACUAGGCAAAAUGGUGCCGUAACUUCGGGAGAAGGCACGCUGACACGUAGGUGAAGUGAUUUACUCAUGGAGCUGAAGUCAGUCGAAGAUACCAGCUGGCUGCAACUGUUUAUUAAAAACACAGCACUGUGCAAACACGAAAGUGGACGUAUACGGUGUGACGCCUGCCCGGUGCCGGAAGGUUAAUUGAUGGGGUCAGCGUAAGCGAAGCUCCUGAUCGA